rnacentral:rRNA from 1 species
CGGGGAGACAGGUGGUGCAUGGUGUCGUCAGCUCGUGUCGUGAGAUGUUGGGUUAAGUCCCGCAACGAGCGCAACCCCUAUUGCUAGUUACCAUCAUUAAGUUGGGGACUCUAGCGAGACUGCCAGUGAUAAACUGGAGGAAGGUGGGGAUGACGUCAAAUCAUCAUGCCCCUUAUGACCUGGGCUACAAACGUGAUACAAUGGCUGGAACAAAGGGAUGCGAAGCAGUGAUGUGGAGCGAAACCCAUAAAACAGUCUCAGUUCGGAUUGAAGUCUGCAACUCGACUUCAUGAAGUCGGAAUCGCUAGUAAUCGCGGAUCAGAACGCCGCGGUGAAUACGUUCUCGGGGUUU